rnacentral:rRNA from 1 species
CCUACGGGAGGCAGCAGUGGGGAAUAUUGCGCAAUGGGGGAAACCCUGACGCAGCAACGCCGCGUGAGUGAGGAAGGACUUCGGUCUGUAAAGCUCUGUUAAUGAGGAAAAAUGGUAGUUGGUCUAAUAGGCCGAUUAUUUGAUGGUACUCAUAGAGGAAGCACCGGCUAACUUCGUGCCAGCAGCCGCGGUAAUACGAAGGGUGCAAGCGUUGUUCGGAUUUAUUGGGCGUAAAGCGCGCGUAGGCGGACCUGCAAGUAAGAUGUGAAAUCUCGAGGCUCAACCUCGAAACUGCGUCUUAAACUACAGGUCUAGAAUCUCGGAGGGGGAAGGGGAAUUUCGCAUGUAGGGGUAAAAUCUGUAGAUAUGCGAAGGAACACCAGAGGCGAAGGCGCCUUCCUGGACGAGUAUUGACGCUGAGGCGCGAAAGCGUGGGGAUCAAACAGGAUUAGAUACCCUGGUAGUCCACGCUGUAAACGAUGAACACUAGGUAUUGGAGGAUUUGACCCCUUCAGUGCCGUAGCUAACGCGUUAAGUGUUCCGCCUGGGAAGUACGGUCGCAAGACUAAAACUCAAAGGAAUUGACGG